rnacentral:rRNA from 1 species
CCUACGGGGGGCAGCAGUAGGGAAUCUUUCACAAUGGGCGAAAGCCUGAUGGAGCAACGCCGCGUGCAGGAUGAAGGCCUUCGGGUUGUAAACUGCUUUUAUAAGCGAGAAAUAUGAUGGUAACUUAUGAAUAAGGAUCGGCUAACUACGUGCCAGCAGCCGCGGUCAUACGUAGGAUCCGAGCAUUAUCCGGAGUGACUGGGUGUAAAGAGUUGCGUAGGUGGGAUAAUAAGUAGCUAGUGAAAUCUGGUGGCUCAACCAUUCAGACUAUUAGCUAAACUGUUAAGCUCGAGACCGUUAGGGGUAACUGGAAGUUCUAGUGUAGGAGUGAAAUCCGUAGAUAUUAGAAGGAACACCAAUAGCGUAGGCAGGUUGCUAGGACGGUUCUGACACUAAGGCACGAAAGCGUAGGGAGCAAACGGGAUUAGAUACCCGGGUAGUC